GAUCAAUAAUUUCUCUCUUUUUGAUGGUGAUAAAACUUUGAGUAUAUACGUAAUAAAAAUAUAAUGUGUUUCAAUUGAUUUACAAAUAUAGUCACGAAGUUACAAAUAUAGUUAUGAAGUUAAAAAGUAAGAGCUUAUAAAUAUCAACUUCAUGAUACUUAAAUUUAUCUUAAAUUCAAAUAUCAAAAUUAUAUUCAACAUACAUUCAUUUCAUAUGAUGUUCUUAAGCAAAU
rnacentral:lncRNA from 1 species